GACGAACGCUGGCGGCGUGCCUAAUACAUGCAAGUCGAGGGACCGGCGCGCGGGUGAGUAACACGUAUCCAACCUGCCCUUUACUCGGGGAUAGCCUUUCGAAAGAAAGAUUAAUACCCGAUAUAAAGGAUGGGGAUGCGUUCCAUUAGGUUGUGGGUGAGGUAACGGCUCACCAAGCCUUCGAUGGGUAGGGGUUCGGAGAGGAAGGUCCCCGGCAUUGGAACUCGGACACGGUCCAAACUCCUAGGGGAGGGAGCAGUGAGGAAGAUAGGGCGAGGGGCGCGAGCCUGAACCAGCCAAGUAGCGUGAAGGAUUAAUGGUUAUGAGUCGUAAAUUUCUUUUAUGUAAGAAUAUGUAUUAUAUGAAUAAGGAUCGGCUAACUCCGUGCCAGCAGCCGCGGUAAUUC
rnacentral:rRNA from 1 species